rnacentral:rRNA from 1 species
GACGAACGCUGGCGGCGUGCUUAACACAUGCAAGUCGAACGGAAAGGCCCUGCCUUUGUGGGGUGCUCGAGUGGCGAACGGGUGAGUAACACGUGAGUAACCUGUCCCUGACCGUGGGGGAACUUCAGGAAACUGGGGCUAAUGCCGGAUAGGAUCUCCUGCUGCAUGGUGGGGGUUGGAAAGUUUCGGUGGUUGGUGAUGGACUCGCGGCUUAUCAGGUUGUUGGAGGGGUAGUGGCUUAGCAAGGCUUGGACGGGUAGCCGGGCUGAGCGGGUAAGCGGCCACGUUAGGCCGGAACUGCGGCCCGGCCUCCUACGCGACGCGACAGUGCGGUAUAUUGCACUAUGCGCUGAGGCCUGAUGCAGCACAGCAGCGUGCGGGAUGACGGCCUUCGGUUUGUAUUGCACUUUCGUCUGUCACGAAGCGUGAGUGACGGUAAUGGGUGAAGAAGCACCGGCUAACUACGUG